CCCCCCUAGCAUUAUUUACGUCCACUCAAGGGCUGACUUGUCCCCCAAUGCUAAAAGCCGUUGUGGUACGGUGCCUUCCCCUAUUUUUAGUACAACCACUAAACUUAGUAGUGGGUGGAUUUGGCUUGUAUCUGGCUGUAGCUCCUGCUGGACAAUUACUAGCCUUGUUAAGCCUUAAAUUCGGCUUGGAAUUGGCCGAAGUAGCCAUAUGAGAUGAAGCCAAAGGCCUAGUCAAAAUUUCUAUAUUCAACAAAUAUAGCUUCAUCCCAUAUCGCUCUCCUUCAUAGUAUUCCAUCUUUUUUUUAUCAUAAGACAUCAUCUUAUUC
rnacentral:lncRNA from 1 species